AUUCAUUUUCUAUACCUGUAUUUUUGUGAUUCGAGCUGAGAAGGAGGGAUGAAUGCAAUGAGCUGUAUGAGGUUUCGCUGGUCUGACCAUGGAUACACCACCCAAGCGGCGUAAGUGUUGCAAAAGGUUCUCCUGCUUUGCCUUCAACUACUUGUAGUGGUAAUAAUAAAUGAUAAUUAUCUUGCCCUAUCAAUAUUUCGGGCUUAUAAUGUGCGAGAUUAAUUUUAUUUUUUACUUCAGAUAAAUAAUCGUAUUGCGUAAUGCAUAAAUUCGAGGAAUCUUGCGCAGGUAAACUCAAGUUGUCUACACUAUUUCCCGUUAACGAAUAUAGUUGGCCGUCUCUGUUUGUCACAGUAAAUUUCAGUGACUCGCUGUCGCAUUCUACUGCAUUGUUCCAUGCGCCACACACGCGCAUCUUUGUGUGACGUCCGUGUAAACCAACGCGCGCCGCCAGCUCCGAGUUUAUUAGUGUGACAGUUGACCCGUCGUCGAGUAACGCGCUUGUAGUCUCGGUUCCGCUCGGUCCAUGUAUGAGCAAAGUUACUACCUUUAGAAGUACAUUACGACUAUCCAUAAUGUGUGUUACUUGCUGCGCUUCCGUGUUCAUCUCGCUGUCGUUCGGUCGAAACUCGGACUCAGGCGCGGCCGUGAUGUUUUCAUUUCGUAAAUUGUGGUUAUCGUAGUGCAAUAAUCGGUGGUGCGCCUUACCGCAGCCGUCCUUGUCGCACCUAGGCGCCGGGCAAUGGUCUCUGUCGUGCUUAAUAGGUGCAAGACAUUGAAAACAUAAACGAUAUCGUUUCACGUGAUGCCAGCGAUCCUUGCGUAGUGCCUUCUUAAAUAAUUUGCAGUCCGGUAGAUUGUGGACUUUAGACUCACCGCGAUCGUUACAGUAGCUGCAUUUUAUUCUUACAUUUGUGUUAGACUCGCUUUGCACUAAUACGUUAUGCGACUUCGUGUAGUUUUCGGCGUAUGGUUUUCUUUUAUAACUGUGCUCGGGCUUAAUGUAAUUAAUAAUACUUGCGGUUUUUGUUGUUUUGACUGCUUCGUCCGUUAAAAACUCGGAUAGUAUGACGAGCUUAGGCUUUGUUCCGUCUAUAAUACGCGGAUAACUGUAGUCCGUCCAUUUUGCUAACAGGACCGUCGGGAACUUAGCUAAUACGGCCGACAUGAUGUUCAUGUUUUUCAGGUACUCAUCCUCUCCGAUCGCGACGACUGCUGCCACGAAGUUCUGGAUUUUGACCGCGAACUUGACUAUAUCUUUAUGAUAUUCGUCUGCUAAGUGUCGCGGUGUUUCUGCUCCCGUUCCUGCCUUCCUUCGGUACGCGCAGGAUUUGCCAUGAUGCUUGGCGGCGGAGUUUGAAACAUACCUUUUAUCGGCUCAAGAUUUGGCUCGAAGACCACUUUGUAAAGGCCAGGCUCAAUAAAAACACAGCUUUUGGUAAAA